GAUGAACGCUAGCGGCAGGCCUAACACAUGCAAGUCGAGGGAGAAGCCCUUUCGGGGGCAGAAACCGGCGCACGGGUGCGUAACGCGUAUGCAACCUACCUUUCACAGGGGGAUAGCCCGAAGAAAUUUGGAUUAAUACCCCAUAAUAUUAUUGGAUGGCAUCAUUUGAUAAUUAAAACUGCGGUGGUGAAAGAUGGGCAUGCGUCCUAUUAGCUAGUUGGAGUGGUAACGGCACCCCAAGGCUACGAUAGGUAGGGGUCCUGAGAGGGAGAUCCCCCACACUGGUACUGAGACAGGGACCAGACUACUACGGGAGGCAGCAGUGAGGAAUAUUGGUCAAUGGUCGGAAGACUGAACCAGCCAUGCCGCGUGCAGGAAGAAUGCCUUAUGGGUUGUAAACUGCUUUUAUAUGGGAAGAAUAAGGCGUACGUGUACGUUGAUGACGGUACCAUAUGAAUAAGCAUCGGCUAACUCCGUG
rnacentral:rRNA from 1 species